CUGGUCUCUCUCUGGGUUCCCCCUGUACUAUGAGAUAGCUGGUCUCUCUCUAGGUUCCCCCUGUACUAUGAGAUAGCUGGUCUCUCUCUAGGUUCCCCCUGUACUAUGAGAUAGCUGGUCUCUCUCUAGGUUCCCCCUGUACUAUGAGAUAGCUGGUCUCUCUCUAGGUUCCCCCUGUACUAUGAGAUAGCUGGUCUCUCUCUCUAGGUUCCCCCUGUACUAUGAGAUAGCUGGUCUCUCUCUCUAGGUUCCCCCUGUACUAUGAGAUAGCUGGUCUCUAGGUUCCCCCUGUACUAUGAGAUAGCUGGUCUCUAGGUUCCCCCUGUACUAUGAGAUAGCUGGUCUCUCUCUAGGUUCCCCCUGUACUAUGAGAUAGCUGGUCUCUCUCUAGGUUCCCCCUGUACUAUGAGAUAGCUGGUCUCUCUCUAGGUUCCCCCUGUACUAUGAGAUAGCUGGUCUCUCUCUAGGUUCCCCCUGUACUAUGAGAUAGCUGGUCUCUCUCUCUAGGUUCCCCCUGUACUAUGAGAUAGCUGGUCUCUCUCUCUAGGUUCCCCCUGUACUAUGAGAUAGCUGGUCUCUAGGUUCCCCCUGUACUAUGAGAUAGCUGGUCUCUAGGUUCCCCCUGUACUAUGAGAUAGCUGGUCUCUCUCUAGGUUCCCCCUGUACUAUGAGAUAGCUGGUCUCUCUCUAGGUUCCCCCUGUACUAUGAGAUAGCUGGUCUCUCUCUAGGUUCCCCCUGUACUAUGAGAUAGCUGGUCUCUCUCUAGGUUCCCCCUGUACUAUGAGAUAGCUGGUCUCUCUCUAGGUUCCCCCUGUACUAUGAGAUAGCUGGUCUCUCUCUAGGUUCCCCCUGUACUAUGAGAUAGCUGGUCUCUCUCUAGGUUCCCCCUGUACUAUGAGAUAGCUGGUCUCUCUCUAGGUUCCCCCUGUACUAUGAGAUAGCUGGUCUCUCUCUAGGUUCCCCCUGUACUAUGAGAUAGCUGGUCUCUCUCUAGGUUCCCCCUGUACUAUGAGAUAGCUGGUCUCUCUCUAGGUUCCCCCUGUACUAUGAGAUAGCUGGUCUCUCUCUAGGUUCCCCCUGUACUAUGAGAUAGCUGGUCUCUCUCUAGGUUCCCCCUGUACUAUGAGAUAGCUGGUCUCUCUCUAGGUUCCCCCUGUACUAUGAGAUAGCUGGUCUCUCUCUAGGUUCCCCCUGUACUAUGAGAUAGCUGGUCUCUCUCUAGGUUCCCCCUGUACUAUGAGAUAGCUGGUCUCUCUCUAGGUUCCCCCUGUACUAUGAGAUAGCUGGUCUCUCUCUAGGUUCCCCCUGUACUAUGAGAUAGCUGGUCUCUCUCUAGGUUCCCCCUGUACUAUGAGAUAGCUGGUCUCUCUCUCUAGGUUCCCCCUGUACUAUGAGAUAGCUGGUCUCUCUCUCUAGGUUCCCCCUGUACUAUGAGAUAGCUGGUCUCUCUCUAGGUUCCCCCUGUACUAUGAGAUAGCUGGUCUCUCUCUAGGUUCCCCCUGUACUAUGAGAUAGCUGGUCUCUCUCUAGGUUCCCCCUGUACUAUGAGAUAGCUGGUCUGUUAUGGGUCAGUGUUAACACUGUGUUAAUAAUGUAAUGUGUUGUCUCUCUCUAGGUUCCCCCUGUACUAUGAGAUAGCUGGUCUCUCUCUAGGUUCCCCCUGUACUAUGAGAUAGCUGGUCUCUCUCUAGGUUCCCCCUGUACUAUGAGAUAGCUGGU